AUUGAACGCUGGCGGCAUGCUUUACACAUGCAAGUCGAACGGCAGCGCGGGCUUCGGCCUGGCGGCGAGUGGCGAACGGGUGAGUAAUGCAUCGGAACGUGCCCAGUAGUGGGGGAUAGCCCGGCGAAAGCCGGAUUAAUACCGCAUACGACCUGAGGGUGAAAGCGGGGGACCGAAAGGCCUCGCGCUAUUGGAGCGGCCGAUGUCGGAUUGGCUAGUUGGUGGGGUAAAGGCUUACCAAGGCGACGAUCCGUAGCUGGUCUGAGAGGACGACCAGCCACCCUGGGACUUAGACACGGCCCAGACUCCUACGGGAGGCAGCAGUGGGGAAUGUUGGACAAUGGGGGCAACCCUGAUCCAGCCAUGCCGCGUGCGGGAAGAAGGCCUUCGGGUUGUAAACCGCUUUUGUUCGGGAAGAAAUCCUCUGGGCUAAUACCCCGGGGGGAUGACGGUACCGGAAGAAUAAGCACCGGCUAACUACGUG
rnacentral:rRNA from 1 species